rnacentral:rRNA from 1 species
ACACUCCUGCGGGAGGCAGCAGUGGGGAAUUUUGGACAAUGGGCGAAAGCCUGAUCCAGCAAUGCCGCGUGAGUGAAGAAGGCCUUCGGGUUGUAAAGCUCUUUUGUCAGGGAAGAAACGGUGAAAGCUAAUAUCUUUUGCUAAUGACGGUACCUGAAGAAUAAGCACCGGCUAACUACGUGCCAGCAGCCGCGGUAAUACGUAGGGUGCAAGCGUUAAUCGGAAUUACUGGGCGUAAAGCGUGCGCAGGCGGUUUUGUAAGUCUGAUGUGAAAUCCCCGGGCUCAACCUGGGAAUUGCAUUGGAGACUGCAAGGCUAGAAUCUGGCAGAGGGGGGUAGAAUUCCACGUGUAGCAGUGAAAUGCGUAGAUAUGUGGAGGAACACCGAUGGCGAAGGCAGCCCCCUGGGUCAAGAUGGACGCUCAUGCACGAAAGCGUGGGGAGCAAACAGGAUUAGAAACCCUAGUAGUCCCA